rnacentral:lncRNA from 1 species
AACCCGCUUGAGUCAGCUUCUGCAUUGUGGAAGGUUUGUUCUUUCUCUCUUUGCAGUAAAUCUUACUGCUGCUCACUUUUUGGGUCCACACUGCGUUUAUUAGCUGCAACGCUCACCGCUAUGGUCUGCAGCUUCACUCCUGAAGCCAGCGAGACCACGAACCCACCAGAAUGAAGAAACUCCGAACACAUCCAAACAUCAGAAGGAACAAACUCCGGACAGGCGGCCUUUAAGAACUGUAACACUCACCUCGAGGGUCUGCGGCUUCAUUCUUGAAGUCAGUGAGACCAAGAACCCACCAAUUCCGGACACAAUGUUACUCCAGAUAAUCAGCGCCAUUUUCUGAAGCUUGAGAUGCAGGAAAAGAGGAGUGCUAUCCAUUAGAUGGAGACAGGAAGUAGAAAAAGAGCUUAAAGUUUUGGCUUGUGUUACUUCCUUGGGGAGAUCUUGCUGGACCACAUCAGGAAUAGGAGGGGUGUGUCCCCACAGCACUGUGUACACGAUGGAGAAACCAAGUCUUUGAAAUCUUGAGAAACUUGCUCACAGUAUAUAUAGAUGUUAAGUGGCACGUUUGGUGAAUGAAUCCACGAUGAUGUUCCAAGCUUAUGCUCAAUAUUUGAAUGAUACAGGGGACAAGUGAAGAGGAGGGAGGCAGGUCAUAUACCCUAGGCCGUAAAGGAGGGGAGUGGAAUCAAGGAAGAUGCAGCAGAAAAGAAGACUUUGAAAGCACUUAAAAGAAGACUUUGAAGGAUCUUAGGGAGCUUGGAUGGUGGAACCAUGAGAAGAGCACAGAGAAGUUGGUGAGGAUAAUUCCCCCCCUUCUCCAUAUUCUAGAGCUGACAACUCCAGCUUGUGUCAGGGUAAUCAAAAGAAGAGACAAUUUAUUGCAGCUCCUACCAUGUGCCAAGCAGGCACCUACCUAAUACCCUAGGGGCAUUAACUCUUUUAACCCUUGCAACAGCCCUGUGAGGUAGCUACAGUUACAAGCCCCAGUUUAGAGGAAGAAACUGAGGAACAUAAAAGAUUGUCCUGGAAUGCCCCACCAGCAUCAAUGACUUGGUUCUCUUCCCUGGCCCUGAAGGAGUGGGCCACUUUCCAGACACGUCCCAGGCAGCAGUCCUGCUCCGUGACACUGUCAAGAAGAGAGGAGCCUCAGGAAAAGUCACAGACAUAAACAAGAUAAAGCCUGUGACCUUCUAGGACACUUUGGCCUGUGGACCACAGAACUGUCAAUGGCCCAGCCCUUGCUCUGAUAAGGGAGGGCAGGAACAUUCCAGGAGAUGCAUUUGUCUCAAGCCCUCAAAGGCUGAGCAUCCCCGAGAAUCUGGCAGAGAGAGAGAGGACGGGGGAGGCUGGUGGGAGGAUCUCUCCAGGGCGUGGAGCCAGCCCCACUGCCCUUGCUAUCCCUUCAGCCCAGAUAUGGGGCAAGAAAUUCAGGCCAACUCAGCAAACAUGUACCUGGCAGCUCCUUCCUGCCUGGCACUGCUAGGGGCAGAGUGCUGGAGGAGAUGGGAGGGCAAGGAUCCCAGGUUGCAGGGGCUCAGAAAGGUGGAGGGAGAUGUGGAUAUCAAUUGCCUGCAUGGAAAAUGAGGGGACAAAGGACAGGCUUUAGUGCUCUGAGGAAGGAGGCAGUCAUUCUGUCUGAGGUUGUGGGAGUCUAGGAAUAUUUAUUUCCUAGAGAACGAGGCCCCUAAGUAGGCCGUAAAGUUAACCAUGACUUUGACAGGUGGAGGGGUCAGAGGAGAGCAUUCCUGGCACAGAUUGGUAUGUUCAAAAGCAUGGAGGAAGACAAUUGCAGAUGUGUUUCAGUUCAUGCAAAGGCCCCUGGAAGGUUGCAAUGGAAGAUGAAGCUAGAAAGAUCAGGGCUGCAGUAGGAGGGGCCUUGACUCCCUGGGAAAGGGUGUGAAACUAUCCUAUAGGAAUAGGAGCCAGGGCUGCCUCUCCGGUAGGGCAGAAACAGUACCAGCUGGGCUUCACAUGGAGGAAGGAGGGGUGGAAGGGGAGCAGACAGGGCCAGUGGAGGGGAUGUAAUAUUCCAAGUUAGAGGUGGUGAGGCCUGAAUUCCGGUAGCAGCCAUGGGAUUUCUGGAAAAAGUUGCAGAUUGUUUUCUUGCUCCUCUUUUAAGACAGUUAUUAGCAGCUGUGGGGCCACCUGAGUGUGUACUGAGCACUUGGGAAACAGGUCCUGAACCAGAAAGAGUGUCCAGGUACAAGUCUACAUCCCAUACCUUGUCAGGCAGAAGUUAGUAGGAAACCCUGCAGCCCAGCCAGAUAAAGGCGUGGCUUCCAGAAUGCCCUGGAACUGCCUGGGUGAUCCUUUUAAAACAUGAAUAUAAACAUGUCUUCAUCCUCCUUAAAACCCUUCGCUGUUUCCACGUCACUCUCAGAAUGAAGUCCAAGCUCUUUGGCUUGGUGUUUAAAGCUUCAUCAAGCCUGUGCUUAUACCUCUGUCAUCCCAUCUCUGUAGUGUAGGGCAGGGAUCCAAACACUUGUCUGCAUGUUCAAAUUCACCUGGAGAUCUUUUAGAAUGUCUAAAGCACAGCCCAGCACCCAGACCAAUUAAACCACAAUUUCUGGGAUGGGACCUAGUUGCUCAGGUGACCCCAGAGAAGCUAGAAACCCAGGUAUAGGGCCUACAUCCUAAGCUCCAGUCAUACCAGAUGUAUUAGCUAGCUGUUUCCAUCACAGACCACUUCAAAUUCGUGGUGGCUUACAAAAAAUAUUGAUUACCAUGCUCACAGAAAUGCAGAUCAUCUGUGAUUUGGCAGGUAAAUGCUGGUGGCAGUUCUGCUUCAGGCUUCGGGGUCAGCUGGGGUUGACUCUAGGCUGACUCUAGACAUUGCAUUCUAGACAUUGCAUUGAGGGAAUUCUACAGAUCUCUCAUAUUUCUGGGAGCUACAUCUUUCCCUGCAGCAAAUUUUCAAGGUAUUGAUAGAAGUGCACGUGCCCCUUAAGAUCUUAGAUUUUAGCUGGCAACCCCUCACUUAACUCACAUCCCAUUGGUCAAAACAAGUCCCAUGGUCAAGGCCAACAAUGAUGGGGCAGGAAAACAGACUCUGCUCACUCUCCUGUUCUGCAAGUCACAUGGCAGGAAGGAGUGAGGAACUAGAAUAAUCCACUCCAUCUCACAGGUAAUCUUGUGACCUUGAAUGGGUCGCGUCUAUGAACCCCAGUUUCCUUACCUGGAGAAUGAGAUAGUUGCCCUGGAUGCCCACUUACAUGACCGCCCCUCCCAGCUCUUCUCAUCCACAAAGACCUUUGCACAUGUAUGCACAGCCACCCACUUGUGCCCAUACUACACAUUUAAAUCAUGACUAUUAUUUUUAAAUACUUGUUGAUUUUCAAAAUGCUUCACAUACUCACACAGGCCAUAUACUCAUCUGCAGAUACAGAUCCUUGCAUUCUCAGUCCUACACAUACAUAUAUACUUACUUUUCAAACACACACGUUUAUGUGCACAUGUUCCCACAUUUAUACAAAUGCACACAGAGGCACCUAUGUGCCGGUGUGCACUCGCUCAGCCAUACUCACACAUGCCACAUGGAUUCUCAGACAUGUUUAGUUACAAACAGUCUCCCCCACCCUUCUCACCCUCACACACUGGCUCACUCACACAUAUAUUCUAUACCUCUCCGCACAGCUGUUUAAUCAGAAUCAGGGCCUGCUGAUGAGGCUGUUGUCUGGCGCUCAGGGAGCUGCUUUAACUCUUUGCUGCCCCCAUAAAGGCUGGCUGUACUAUGUGCCCUCCAUCUGCAGACCCCGGGGAACAAAAAGGCCACAGAAGAGUCAGGCGGAGAUGCUUAAUCUGCAGGAUUGGAGCUCAUCUGGUGCCACAGGGCCAGGGAGAGGGUGCAGAAGACACAGGGACAGACAGCACUCUGGACCCUCUGAAUUCACUCUGUGCUUUCUCCUCCUGGCUGCAUCUCCCUCAUGUCCCAGGUAUCUUCAGUAGGAUAACCAAAAAAAAAAAAAAAAAAAGAAUCAUCCAAACCAAGACAGUGUUGAGAGCGAAAGGGACACUAACAACAAUUACACUGAAUUACCUGAGAUUGUCACAGGCAAGCAGCAAAUGCCUGGUCCCUACUCAUGAGAGACCAGAUAUUGUGGACUUGCCCUGAGCUCCUGUUUCAGCCCAACUCAAGGACAGUCCCGGUUGAAAGGAACUUUCAGGUAGAAUUCCCUCAUUUUGCAGUUGAAGGCCCAGAGAGAAGCUGGGACUUGCCUGAGGUGACACAACAAGUUAGUAACAAAACAGUGUAUAGAACUAAGUUUUUCAAUCUUCCAGGCUAGAGUUCUCCGUGGUCUUAGGUGCAGCUCCUGGGAAACUGGCUGAAACUGUGGGAUUAGCAUGCAAGGGUUCACUGAGGAGUACUUGAGGAAAGAAAGCAGGACAGAGCAGAGGGACAGCAGCCUCAGCAGAGGUCAUGGGGAGCUCUGGAGCUGAGAGGGUUCUUCAAGGUUGUCCCAAAUGAAUCUAUGGGCCGAGGCUUUGUGCCUCCAGCGAGAGGACGUGAUGUUGGGUGGGGCAGUACCCUGCAGCUGAGAGCAACCCCCAGGGAGGGAUGCAACAGCCUGUCAACUAAGGGAGACAGUGCCUUGGUCCUCCAGGGGAGGUGGGCAGCACACCAUGGCAUCCACCACAUCCUGCUGUUAGCUUGUGUUAAACAAGCUACCUGCAGCCCCAGCCCCCCAGAGGCCUGUUUGUACCUGGGCAGCAGUUGUAUUGGCAUUCAUUUCACUGGCUCCACAGGGGGUCCUGGAAGGAAAUUGCUGGGGAGGAGGCCACCUGGCUGAGGCUGCUCCUGAGACUGACCAGUGCGUUCCUUGUGGAGCCCGAGCUUCCUGCCAGCCCCAGCACGGCCAUCUCUGCAGCUUUGCAGCUGCAUUCUUCACACCCAUCAGAAGUCACUGUUGCUUACUUUAUUUUUCCACUUCUUCGAUCCUUCUACAUGUGGUCCAAGGGAGUUUCCUGUCUAACUCAGCCAGGGAACAGGGGCAGCUAGCAGAGAGCCAAAAGGGGGCACCUGGGCAUGAGUUAAGAGGGCAUCUGUGGCAAGCCCAUUACACAGCUAAAGAGAACAAUCUCAAUGAGAAGACUCAGGCUUCUUUAUGAAGGAGGGACACAUUUCCCAUGGGCUGUGGAGUCCAGCAAUCCUGACUUCCAGUCUUAGCUCUGCUGCCUACCUACGGAGGCACUUUACACACACUUCCAGGCGUGAAAAAAAAAAAAUUUCAGCAAAUUAAAUUUAACAAAGUUUAGUUGAGCCAAGAACUAUUCGCAAAUCGAGCCCCCUCAGAACCAGGAAACGGAACGGAAGUGAGGCACAGCAACAGCUUCACUGGUUACAGCUCAGCAUUGGCCGUAUUUGGAUGUGGUGUGAUGAGUUGACUGCCCGUGAUUGGCUGAACCUCAGCAUCUUGUUAUUGGCUGAGACACAACUACUUGUCACAAAAAAUGCAUACUCCUAAAUUAGGCUUUUAUUCUGUUUACGUACUAAGUAAGGUGCAGUUUGUUAUGUAAAUACUCAAGGUACUGAGGCAUCUUCAGGCCAACUUUAGUUAAAUUUAACACAAGCUACCUAGAACUUAGGGAUGGCUCUCUAUAUACAGUAGAGCAUUGUAAGAAUGUAAUGAGGUAACCUGGGAAUAGGAAAGGGAUCUGCAACGUGCCAGCACUCUGCUAAGCACGCAGCACCCACAGCCUCCCUUAUCCCUAUCACAAGCCUGCAAGGUGAGUACCCAGGAUCCCAUUUUACAGAUAAACAAGCUUGCCCCAGGGCCCAGAUCCAAGCUCAACCUGACAUUGUAUGAUUGGUUGCCAGCAUUCUCUGCAGAUUAGUCUUGACAAGGGCCAGUUUCUUACUCCAGUAAAGCAGGAAUUAAAAAGAAAAUAAAAAAAGAAAACACUGGAGCAGUGCUUGACAUUUCACUAUGUUUCCAUCAUAUUGGGUGAAGGCAUCAAGAAGAGCAAAAAUCCUCCUCCUUAAAAACUCAAGAAUUUCAGUGCCAAAAAAAUGACUGUGGAAUUUUUCCAUAAACACACACACACACACACACACACACACACACACACACACACACACACACACACACACACCGUGUUAGUUUUUUCCUGAGGAUCCUGCAGAAUUGCUUUUCACAAAAGACGGCUAACAGCACAGAGCUCUUCUGGAGAGCAGAUUAAAUGAAUUGUCCAGUUUUGGGUGGAAGGCUGUCCAACUUUCCCAGUCAUCAGUGGAAUGCUGGCUGGGUUGAUGUAGGGGUUACUUGGGGGUUAUUGACAACUCCCCAAAUGAGUCUAGCAAACUCGUUUGUGCCAGGCUUCAACUAGGGAGCUCACAGUCUCCUGGGGAAAAUGGACAUAAAAACAGGAAAUUACAAUAUGUAAGUAAUAUUAUAACAAGAAGUAAUAGAAUCAAAUACAAAGUCCCCAGAUAACUUGGAGGUGGUGUCAGCUCUGUCGUGGAGGCUCAAGGAAGAUUUGCUGAAAGAAGUAUCACAAAUCCAGGUUUUGAAGGAUGAACAGGAGUUUUUAGGAGCUACCACCUACUUUUAAUGAUUUUUCUAUUUAGAGAGUGGAGAAAAGAAAGAAGAGGAAGGGUGCUUACAUGUACUACAUGCUAUUUGCCAGACUGCAUUCGACACUUUGCACGUUUGCACAUUUAAUUCUCACGAUAACCUUGUCAGAUGGGGUUUUCACAGGCAAGAAACUUAGGAUCAAAAAGGGUAAGCUGAGCAAUUUACUCAAGGUCACACAGCUACCAAGUGCUGGGGCCAGAAAUCCAUCCCAGUUCUUUUGGCUCCAAAUCCCUGGCUCUUUCCCUGCUGCUGGCUUCUGUAGCCCAUAGGAGCUGUACAUUCAUGGAGUUUAUCUGUGGCAUACUGUGCAGUUUUUGAGUUGGUUAGAAUAAUGUAAAAUCAUUAGGAACUGAUUUAGCAACUGGUCAUAUCUACAGUCAACCCUACAAAAUUCCCUCAUCUGUUCACAGAAACUAUAAGUCUUCAAAGUACUGUCCCAUCUACCCAUUCCUCAGCCCAGCCCUGCAACUUGAACAGGAAGGUCCAUUGCCUGGUAAGUCAAGAGCAGAGCCAGGGGAACUAGAAUCUUCAAUUUCUUGGUUCCCACUGCAGGGCUCUAUGAGUGACACUAUGUUAUACGUAUCUUGUCCCUUUCAUAUCUCUGGUGCUGUAAGGAAGUACCUUCAGGUACUCCAGAUCCUGGGUACCUUCUGUAUCCUCCUUAACAUAAAGUCACUUAACAUAGGACUGAGAUUGAGUGUAUUUCUUUUCAUAAAGAGGUGUGGCUUGAAUUCCUGUGCUGACCACUCCUGACUUGUGUGACCUUGAGCCAAGUUACCUAACCCUUUAGACUUUAAAUCAUCUGAGAAAUAGGGCCAUAAGUUUGGAGAAGUCCUACCUUUGUACAAAAUAACUGGGGCGAUGUUUCGGCACUUACUGGGUACACAAAAUACCUGGUACUUACUAGGUGCUCAGUAGAUGUGAGUUUACUUUCCUUUAUCCUUUGAAGAGCUGUACCUGUGUCCAGGGUUAACCUCACUCCAUCAGGACCUAGACAUCCCUACAAAAUUAGGGAUUUUACUUCCCUUUGUGGUAAUUAACUAUAUAUUGUACAUUCUAUAUCCAAAGUCACAGAGCAGAUCCACAGUUUUCAAACUGGGUUCGAAGAAGCCCUGAGGUCCUGCGAGGCGGUUCAAGGGUGAUGGAUGUCAGUGGUCAGGCCUUCAGACCACCCCCUCCCAAUUCAACAAAGGCAGAAUCUCUUUUAUAUCUUUUAUAUGUUGGGCUCUCAAGUAGAAUUUCAUUUUAAGAAUGAAAUUGAGUGUUGAAAAUAGAAAAUUGCAAACCUCUGUUGGAGAGUAAUAGAAAGUUUAAUGUGUGAUCUUUGCAUUGCAAACCAGGUUGCUUUCUCCCUUAUGUCUCUUCCCUCCUCGUCUUUUUUUUUUUUUUUUUUUUUUUUGAGAAGGAGUCUUGCUCUGUCCAGCAGUGGUGCCAUCUUGGCUCACUGCAACCUCCACCUCCCAGGUUCAAGCAAUUCUCCUGCCUCAGCCUCCUGAGUAGCUGAGAUUACAGGCACAUGCCACCACCCUCAACUAAUUCUUGUAUUUUUAGUAGAGGUGGGGUUUCACCAUGCUGGUCAGGCUGAUCUCGAACUCCUGACCUUGUGAUCUGCCUGCCUCGGCCUCCCGAAGUGCUGGGAUUACAGACAUGAGCCACCACGCCCAGCCCCUCCUGGUCUCCUUAAUGACAAAAGCCCAGCUUCUACCCUGCUCACUGCCCCACCCCCAACAUUCAGACCAGUCACAAGAAGGAAAACCAGUUAACAAGGACCUGGAGAAGCUACAACGUACUUGGACUUCCAGUCUUUAAAUGGACCGUUUUUGUCUCAGCCUGGCUAGGAAGUCUUGGCUGAUGUGGUCUAGAGACAGGAAAGCAAGGUAAUUUGGGGCCUAAAAUGACAAAAUGAGGGCAGAGAAAAGUGUUGAAAAUGAAUGACUGCGGAAAGGAAAGAAAUAUUCUGACAUGCUCCUCUUCCUAUCUGACACCCAGUGAGAUGGAGAACACGUUGACUUUGGAGCCAAGAAAGCUGAGUUCAAAUUCUGAGCCUGCCCAAUGUGUAACUAUGUGAUCUUGAACAAGCCAUUAACUCCUUCCAGUCUUAUUUCCUCAUCUACAGAAUGGGAAUAGUAUUGCUGUCACAGGACUAAUAUGAGUGUAUAUCACAUGUAUGUAAAAAGCAUAUGUGAGAUAUUGAAUGAAAAACAAUUGAUGCCUGCUAGAUGUCACUGAAUAAACAUCAGUCCCCCUUCUCCAUCCAGCUACCAUAUUUUCCAGCCCAUACAUUGAGACACUGGGUUAUGGUAAAUAUUGAAUUAAAUGAUGUAAAUCAAUUCCUAAUGCAACUCCUGGCACACAGUAGGUGUUUAAUAAAUGCUAUCUUCUCCACAAGCUUCCCUCCUUCUGCACAACAUAUUUGCAGCAACUGCCAUCCUGAUCACCUCAUGCUUGGGUUACUAACUCAGCCCCCCUAGUGGGGUCCCCUGUCCCAGAGCCCUGUUCCUGUCUCCCUGGCAUGUGCAGUCACCCUAAUCUUCCCCUAAACAAAUGAACAAAGCAAGACAAAUGGCAAAGCUCCACUAACAACAAGCUAUUCAGUUCCAGCAUUAUCUGAUUUAAUUCUCCAUUUUUGUUUCAGAUCAAUCUGUAAGAUCAGUGUUAAUAGCUCUCCCUACCCCUUGUAAUGAUAAUCUCAGGCUCAAAGAAGUAAGCAAUUUCAGCUCCUCACCUUUGUGGGGGCGUAGCUAAGGUGUGAGAUCCCAUCAGAUCUGUCUGCAACCAAAGACUCUUCUGCAACAUUAACUGUUCUCUGAAGUGGUCUGGCUGGGCACUGAGAGUGGAGAGACCUGGAUUCUAGCGCUGGCUCACCAUUGGUUCAUGGCGCAUGAGCCCAUUUCCUCCUCUAAAAAUGAGGAGAGUCCCUUCCUUUCUUACCCCAUAUGUCUGCACUCAGGUUUCAGGGCCAAUUUCAGAUGGGCCAUAUGCUCUCUGUCCUCUGUACCUUUGCCCAAGCUGUCGCCUGCUCCUCAGUCACCUCCCUCAUUGCCCUGUGUCUACCUGUUUAAGAAUUAAGCUCUAAGAUUCUACUCUAUCAUCCCUCACCUCCUUCAGAAAGCCUUCCUAGACCAGCCCAGGCAGAAUCAGGUGCUCCUCCUCUAGGCUUUCAUAGCCCUGCAUCUAAACCACAACUGUGACCUUUUUUUCCUGGUAUAUACCUUUGAUUAUAGGACUGUCUCCUAGUAGAUAGACUGGGAGCUCUCGUUUAUCUCAUUUAUCUUUAUACCCAUGUCUGUCACAGAAUAAUUGCUCAGAUAAUACUUGUGGAAUGAAUGCAUUAAUGAAUGAAUGAAGAGAGAGAGCAAGGGAGAUCGAAAGAGCAUCAUUGAAUGAGUUCAGGGUUUUGUUCGGUCCCAGCUUCAGAGUCCAUUUCUUAAGAAUAAUUAAUUCUUGCAGUUCUUCCACUGCUGACGUUGUGCCUCCAUGGGGGUCAAUGGCCCUAUGCCCUAGCAUCUUAUCCCUAUACCAUGUAAUCUGGGUCUGAUGCUGGAAUUUGGGCUUAGAGCUUGGCUCCAAGUCUCUGUGACAGGGCUCUGCCCUGCCUCCAGCCCCCAUCCAGGACAUGGGCCCUCUCUUACCCUGGCCAGCCUGUUUCAGGCCAAGGAACUCCAUUCCUCUCCCCAGCUCCUGUUCUCUCCCUCUCACCUGCUUCCCUGGCUGGUGAUAGGGCCUGCCUCCUGCCCAUCAGGGCUUCUUAGAUUACAACUAUCAGCCUAAUUUCCCCACUUCUGUGUCCCACCCACUUACUAGGUCAGCCUUCCCACUAUAGUUGGGAGAUGGUGACAUCCUCAUGUGUCAGGCUUUUCCUGAUAUCGGGAGCCCCUCAUGUCAGCUCCUAUCCCUGGGUCAGAUGCCCUGACAUAUGCCCAGCCCUUCAGACAGCUCCAGGUCAGUGUCCAAUCCCUUUCUGCCUGCCAGGGAGCAUCUGGACAUGCCUAGCCAAAUCCUGAGAUGGGCUGGGAGGAGGCAGUCAGCCCUGGAGAUCAUUUCCAGUGAAGGCCCAGCCUGCAGGUGGGCACACAUGGUGGGUGUUCAGGUUUGAGGAGGCCUUGGAAAAUGAAAGAUCGCAUGUGGUGCAAACCUCAGGCUAUGUGCCUUUGGACAACUCAUUUUAUCCCUCUGUGCCAAAGAGUUUUUGUUUGCAAAUUGGAGAUAAGAACACAUAAUAGCUACCUCAGAGGACUGUUGUGAAGAAUAAAUAGGAUAAUGCAUAUCAACCUCAAGGCCUGGUACAUGAUGAGCCCUCAGUAAACGUGAGCCCUUUUCCAUGUCACUAUAGCUGUUGUCAUUAUUGCUCUUGUUGCUGCUAUUGUCAUUAAGAAGAGUGGGCUGCAUCCUCAGGUACAUCUCCUGUGCUGUUUCUUUUCCUCAAACCACUCAUUAAUAUUCUGAAGACUAAGUCAGGGAGGCAGUAGCAACACACCAGGCUUAAAAUUAAUCAAGUUCCCUUCAGUCCAAAUGAACUUUUCUCACCGAUUCUCAGAUCUUCGGCAUCUUGCUACUGGGUGCAUUUUUUCUACAUAAUGAAGUUUGGGCAGUGCUGGCUCCUGCCUAGUCCCUGACUGUGACCUCCAUGCAGUCACAGCUGUUCUCAGGCGCUGCGCUUCAAGUUCCCCACCCCACAUCGUCUGGCUGCCUUCUCAUCUGGGGUGAUGCGACCCCAGCAGAUUAAUAUGAUGUCCUUGUAAUUCUGCAUCCAAGACACAUGUCACUUUCCUUCAACACAUUUGGAAGGAGGGCAAGUUCUACUUUGUAAGGACCGUCACUUAUUUUGAACUGGAAGAAAAUAAUUUAUUUGGUCAAAAGUUGUUGUGCUUUUCCAUUAAGGGCACAUAUUACCCUUUUGUAAUUGGAAAUGGGGCCAUUUAGAUCCCACAUCGUCUAAUCUCCAAAGUCACUCCAGCACAGGGCUUUCUUCCUCAUUUGAUUUCAAUCAAUCAGUGAAUCCAACAACGAAGAAAAUGCAUUCAAAAAUUAACCAUACCAAGUGAAAGCAGAGGAACGUAUGUUAGCAGGAGUCUCCCAACUCAGGUGUUUCUGUAAGAACCAUUAAAAUACCCCUUAUCUGAGUGGAAAUUCAUUUCUUUCUACUAUAGGAAGACUCCAAGACACUCACUCUAAGACUUGGGCCUGGAUCUAUGUGCAGAAACCCUGCUGAACUUUGCAGUGUCACCCGCCACCCAACUAAGAGGGUCUCCCAGGAUUGUUUUCUAGUUCCCAGUCUGGGCUGUCUGACAUGGCACCCCAACCUGGGUACACAUCUUAGAGGCUCGGCUUUUUGUCAGUGGCAAACUGGAAAUUUCACCACUUAAAUGGAACCACGAAAUCUUAGGCCUUGGGAGAGUAUGUCUGCAGGGCCAUCUUGGUGUGCACCUCUCACUGACCAUUUUCAACAGAUGCCAGAUUCUUGGAUCUGGGAGGGUGGCCCUAGUCCCCAUCUUCAGGCUGUGUUAAAUGGUGAGCUUGAAGGCCAAAGAAAACUGCUUCAGACUUUGAUACCUUAUCAGUAUGACUCAGGGAAGAGAGAGGUUAAGUAACUUGCUCAGAAUCACACAGGUAGUAACUAGCAAAAUUGGACUUUGAAUCCAGGUUUGCAUGACUUUAUAUUAUGCUUUUCUGCAAUGCUGCUGCCUGGAAGGCAGGCUUAGUGCUGCUGAGAUCCUGGUAGAUAUCUGCUUUCCCCAAAGCGGUGAACUUUGCAGGCUACCGCCAGAUCUAUGCCAUCUGCUCACUUCCGAGGGGCUUCUUCAAAUCCCACCAGGUGACCUUAAUGUCCCAAAAUAUUCUUGACACUGAAGCACUCACUUGCAAAGAAAAGCUGGACCCCAACCCCUGUAUUGGACAGACCCUACAGGAAGUUUCCUUAAUAGCCUAAGGAGCAGAGACAGAAAAUGAAAAAUCACUAAGGUAGUGGUAGGCUUACAUCCCAGGGAGGGAGUGCCAUGGCGCACACCUCCUGCAUGGGCUAGGGUUCGCAUUUGUGUUUAAUAACAACUUUGAUCUCUCUGCCAGCAGCAGCGGUCAUUGAGAAAUCCUGACAUAAAGAAGGUAUCUGGGAGAUAAAGUUCUGCAAGCGAUGAUUACUAGCACUUAAGUUCUCUUUUUGUUGAAAGGAAGAAUCCCAGAUUGAACAGUGCAUUGAAUGAUAUGACAAGCAAGUACUUGAUCCCUGUCCAGCUGGAGGGGGGAUUGUACCCAUCAGCAGCUUUUUAGCUAAGGACGUCUUUAUAUUUCCCUUCUUUGUCUGGGCCUCUCUAGUUCCUCCUUUUACUUCAUGUCAGCACUAUAUAGUAGGUAUGCCAAGUGGUUUUGAAAUUUAAAUUACAGUCUCUUUUUCAGAUGUUAUUGGAAAGAACAUGUAAUUUAUAACCACGUGUUAGGAGUACAGGAUGUUCAUGGUCCACUGCCAAUUUUUCUUUUGUAAAGUUAAUAAAACUUUCAUAAAACACUUAUACACUUGUAUAUUUCAUGGUAAAGAUUUUUUUUAUCUCAUAGGCUAAUGUAAAGAUUUAUUAAAACCAUUUUUUUGUUAAGAGGAGUGUCAAUAGUUUGCAGCUGAGUGUAAUUUUGAAUCCGUGGAAGAUGACGGUCUGAUGGAAAAUGACAGUAACAGCUUUGUUGAUUUAGCACUAAAAAUAAAGGAGCCUUUCAAAUGAGAGAAUGCUCUAAUAUCCAGAGUGGGCUAGGACGCACUCAGGCCAAUGGAGGCAAGCUGGAGGAGCCGGCCACCAGCACUCCAGCCCCUGGCAAGAGCAGAGCAGGAUUGGAUGGAGCCCAGGAAAUGCAGAUGAUAACUCCUGCCUCCAGACCCCUCUCUGAGAUGAUUCUGAGACACAUAUAAAUGGGCUUUGCAAACUGUGGGCAGUAGAUGUGAGAACUCUUCAUCUUCCAGACAGGAUCCAAGGUCCUUUGGAAGGGACAGUGAGCGGACUGCAUCCUGCUUGCAUGAAGACCCUGAUUCCCUCAAAUGUUGAAAGAGGUUGAAUUUACAAAUAAAUUAAGAAAUUAAGAGCAAAUGAAGAGGAAGGAAUGGUUAUUAACCGUGUGCCAUAGAUCUUUGCAUUAGUAAGCCUUAUGGUCCUUGUUUAAUAGAUGAUGAAACUGGGACUAAGAGAAGUGAAGUAAUCAACUCAAGAUCACAAAAUGAACGGGACAACCAGGUUUCAAACUUAGGUUUAUUCUGACACCAAAGCUUCCAUAUUUUUUUCCAUUCUAGAAUGUUAGAAGCAGUGGACACUCUGGAGUGUUCCCACAUGCUAAGCACUACGCUCGGUGCUCUAUAAGCAUUCUCUCUCUCAAUCCUCACGCCACACCUGGGCAAUCACGAUUACCUUCAUGCAAGGUGAGAAGUGCUGAAAGUUAUAAUUCCUUGCAGGGGAGGGAUUGAAUGUGCUUCCCGUGGAAGGCUGUGGUCUAGCAGUGCCUUUGGUUGGAGGGAGCAGGAAGCUUCAAGCUCUGCCUGGGGCCACUUCUCCCGCAGUUGAGAAUUAAGGGUUAGCACCUGGAAUUUGACUUAGAAAUGGGAUUGGUAAUUGUCUCAUUCCUCUUUACAGGGGUCAUCCCCAUCUACCUCACUCUGCCCUCUACUCCAGCCCUGCUCUCUUUGGCCCCUCUUUCAGUUGUUCUUUCUUCUCUCCAUCUGCCAUUCUCUUCUACAUUCCUUUUUCAACCAAGUAGUCACUCUUUAUCGCAGCAUUUCUCCUAGUGACCCUCCCUGGUGCCACUGAGGUGAGGGCCAGCCACAUGCCUGGCUUAGGGUCACUGUUUUCUUUGUAGGCAUCCUCUCCAGCACCUCCCUCCACCCACUUUCUGGCUAACUCCUAUUCUUCGCUGAGGUUUCUGCUUAAAUGUUACUUCUUCAGACCAUGCCUGACACAUCUGACUGGAUCAGGCCAUCUGCGUGUACACUCUCUAAUCAUUUUGCAUUUCCCCAUUACUUUUCACAAUUAUAAUUAAGUGAUUGUUUGUAAAACUUAUUUGUUUGCUAUCUAUGUUUCCUGCUAGACUACAAGCUCCAGGAGGGGAGGAGCCACAUCUGCCUUACUCAUUGCUGCAUCUUCCAUUCCCAGUAGAGCUCAGGGUCAGUCCUCUCAACCUCACACCAUGGCAGUGUUCCUCCCCUUCUAGGCAAAAGGCCAGACAGCCUCCUGACUUCACACCCUAGUCCCAUUUGUAAUUGUGCCAAGUAUCACCAAGUGUCAUACAAGUGUCACAGAGUCUAGUUAGGAGAGAUUCUGGUGGCAGCCUUCCCCUUUGCCCUUUGGAGAGUGAAGUUGCACAUUCCCACCUUGUGAGAGGUGAAGAAAGAGCCAACAGCCUAGCCUGCUUCUACGUCUCGACAACUCUGAGAUAUGGAGGCAUAGGAAGCUCUGGGAUCCUGGAAGAAAAUGUAAAAGAGAAAUUGGGACCCCAGGACAAGAAGUCCAAGAGAAAUGGCAGAAGACUCCUACGCAAUCUCUGUCACCACCGUAGGGGCAAAGGCAGAGCAAUUGGGACCAAUGACCCCAACUAGGAACAUAGCCUGGAGAACCCCAAGGAGCAUGAGGACAUCCUGAACAGAGGCCACCUCAGGAGAGCUGAAGGAGCAGGAGAGCAGCCCUGGUGCACCCUGCCCAGGCUCAACUCCUCCCGCAGAACUAAGCCAGGGCUGAGAAGUUCCUUGAAAGAGGCUGCUCUUUGGAAGCCUUGCACAUUUCUGAAGGCUGCCAAGAGAGUGUGUGGCUGAAACCAGAGUGAGGACCCAUGCUUCCUUGAGGUGGAGCCCAGGCACUUGGGCAAACAGCUGAUAGGAGUUCAUUUUGUGAAGCUGUCACGAGUUUUCCAGUAGACCAUGAGCUUGCUGAUGGCAGGAGCCUGCCUGUCCUUGAUCCUUGUUUCUGUGGGGUCUAUCCCAGUGCCUGGCACAGUGGCUUUGGAGAUGGAAGGAAUAGAGGGAGAGCAGAUCCUCAAACACAGCCUGCAUCUCUCCCUGCUCCCCUCCCACCCUCCAGUUUUCCAGCCAGAGGCAUUUGCUCUAAGGCCCAGGCUGUGGCCCACCUAUCACCGCUACCCAAGUAGUACAGGAAAAGGAAAUUUGAAGAGGAAAAGAGGCACCAGGGAUGAGGACACACCGAGAAAAGACCAUGUGAAGACAUGGCGAGAAGACAGCCAGCUGCAAGCCAAGGAGUGAGGCCUCAGAAGAAACCAACCCUGCCGACACCUUGACCUUGGACUUCUAGUCUCUAGAAUUAUGCGAAAAUAAAUUCCUGUUGUUUAAGCCACCCACUCUGUAGUAUUUUGUUAUGGCAGCCCCAAGCAAACUAAUACAGUAUCCUUGAAGAAAGAAGAAUUAUAAAACCUAACAGUUAAGGGGCAGUUAAUUGACAUAUUAAUAAUUCAUUUAGUCUUCUCUUCACAGAAACUCUCUAUAGGAGUUAUUACCAUUUAUCACCAUUUUACAGAGGAGAAAACUGAGGCACAAGAGGUCAAGUAACCUGCUUCAAAGUCAUAACUAGUAAGUGACAGAGGCAGUUUCUUCACUCUCAGUCCUCUAAAAAGCAAAGCCCAAGGUUAAAGUGCUGACAUUUAGU